rnacentral:rRNA from 1 species
GAUGAACGCUAGCGGCAGGCUUAAUACAUGCAAGUCGAGGGGUAGCAAGAUUGUAGCAAUACAAUUGUUGACGACCGGCAAACGGGUGCGGAACACGUACACAACCUUCCUACAAGUGGGGAAUAGCCCAGAGAAAUUUGGAUUAAUACCCCGUAACAUAGCGAUGUGGCAUCACAUUGCUAUUAUAGCUUCGGCGCUUGUUGAUGGGUGUGCGGCUGAUUAGAUAGUCGGCGGGGGAACGGCCAACCAAGUCUACGAUCAGUAGCUGAUGUGAGAGCAUGAUCAGCCACACGGGCACUGAGACACGGGCCCGACUCCUACGGGAGGCAGCAGUAAGGAAUAUUGGACAAUGGACGCAAGUCUGAUCCAGCCAUGCCGCGUGAAGGAUUAAGGUCCUCUGGAUUGUAAACUUCUUUUAUAAGGGACGAAAAAAGGUCUUUCUAGAUCGUCUGACGGUACCUUAUGAAUAAGCACCGGCUAACUCCGUGCCAGCAGCCGCAGUAAUAC